ACCCAUUUAGCUCAGUCAGUAGAGCGUAGCGCUAACGACACUAAGGUCGUGGGUUCAAUUCCCGCUCGGUC
rnacentral:tRNA from 1 species